rnacentral:rRNA from 1 species
ACGGAGGGUGCAAGCGUUAUCCGGAUUCACUGGGUUUAAAGGGAGCGUAGGCGGGUCUGUAAGUCAGUGGUGAAAUCUUCGAGCUUAACUCGGAAACUGCCAUUGAUACUAUAGAUCUUGAAUUACCUGGAGGUUAGCGGAAUAUGUCAUGUAGCGGUGAAAUGCUUAGAUAUGACAUAGAACACCCAUUGCGAAGGCAGCUAACUACGGGUAUAUUGACGCUGAGGCUCGAAAGCGUGGGGAUCAAACAGGA